rnacentral:rRNA from 1 species
UACAUAGGGUGCGAGCGUUAAUCGGAAUUACUGGGCGUAAAGCGUGCGCAGGCGGUUUUGUAAGCCAGAUGUGAAAUCCCCGGGCUUAACCUGGGAAUUGCGCUUGUGACUGGCGUGCUGGAGUGUGGCAGAGGGAGGUGGAAUUCCACGUGUAGCAGUGAAAUGCGUAGAGAUGUGGAGGAACACCGAUGGCGAAGGCAGCCUCCUGGGCCAGCACUGACGCUCAUGCACGAAAGCGUGGGGAGCAAACAGG